UGAGGAAUAUUGCACAAUGGGCGCAAGCCCGAUGCAGCAACGCCGCGUGGGCGAUGAAGGCCUUCGGGUCGUAAAGCCCUUUUUGAGGGGAUGAGGAAGGACAGUACCCUCAGAAUAAGCCUCGGCUAACUACGUGCCAGCAGCCGCGGUAAAACGUAGGAGGCGAGCGUUAUCCGGAUUUACUGGGCGUAAAGCGCGUGCAGGCGGAUUGGAGAGUUGGAUGUGAAAGCUCCCGGCUUAACUGGGAGAGGUCGUUCAAUACUUCCAGUCUUGAGUGCAGUAGAGGGAAGUGGAAUUCCGGGUGUAGUGGUGAAAUGCGUAGAUAUCCGGAGGAACACCAGUGGCGAAAGCGGCUUCCUGGACUGUAACUGACGCUCAGACGCGAAAGCUAGGGUAGCAAACG
rnacentral:rRNA from 1 species